GACGAGUCCCAAACAGGACGAGACGCGCGUC
rnacentral:hammerhead_ribozyme from 1 species